GGGCGGAUAGCUCAGCGGUAGAGCGUCGCCCUUACAAGGCGAGGGUCACAGGUUCGAUCCCUGUUCCGCCCAAAG
rnacentral:tRNA from 1 species